rnacentral:rRNA from 1 species
AAACAUGUCUUUUUGAUUAUAUAUUUAAAGUCUAACCUGCCCACUGAAUAAUUUUAAAUGGCCGCAGUAUUUUGACUGUGCAAAGGUAGCAUAAUCAUUAGUCUUUUAAUUGAAGGCUGGUAUGAAUGGUUGGACGAGGUAUAAGCUGUUUCAUAUAAAUUUAUUAUAGAAUUUUAUAUUUUAGUUAAAAAGCUAAAAUUUUAUUAAAAGACGAGAAGACCCUAUAAAUCUUUAUAUUUAUUUUUAUUUAAGUUUUUUAGAUUUUGUUUAUUUUUAUAAUAAUUAAAUAUUUUGUUGGGGUGAUGUUAAAAUUUAAUGAACUUUUAAUUAUUUAAAUUAAUCAUUGAUUUAUGAAUUGUUGAUCCAUUAUUAUUGAUUAUAAGAUUAAGUUACUUUAGGGAUAACAGCGUAAUUUUUUUUGAGAGUUCAUAUCGACAAUAAAGUUUGCGACCUCGAUGUUGGAUUAAGGUAUAGUUUUGGGUGUAGCUGUUCAAUAACUAAGUCUGUUCGACUUUUAAAUCCUUACAUGAUC